GAUGAAGAACGUAGCGAAAUGCGAUAAGUAAUGCGAAUUGCAGAAUCCGUGAGUCAUCGAAUCUUUGAACGCACAUUGCGCCCGCCAGUAUUCUGGCGGGCAUGCCUGUUCGAGCGUCAUUUCAACCCUCAAGCCCAGCUUGGUGUUGGGGAUCGGCACAGGCGCCCUCGGGCGCCCGCCGUCCCCUAAAUCUAGUGGCGGUCCCGUUGCAGCCUCCUCUGCGUAGUAGUUUUCUCCUCGCAAGGGCAGCUCGGUGGCGACCUCGCCGUAAAACCCCCAACUUCUGAAAGGUUGACCUCGAAUCAGGUAGGAAUACCCGCUGAACUUAAGCAUAUCAAUAAGCGGAGGA
rnacentral:misc_RNA from 1 species